rnacentral:rRNA from 1 species
CUACGGGGGGCACCAGUGGGGAAUAUUGCACAAUGGGCGCAAGCCUGAUGCAGCCAUGCCGCGUGUAUGAAGAAGGCCUUCGGGUUGUAAAGUACUUUCAGCGGGGAGGAAGGGAGUAAAGUUAAUACCUUUGCUCAUUGACGUUACCCGCAGAAGAAGCACCGGCUAACUCCGUGCCAGCAGCCGCGGUAAUACGGAGGGUGCAAGCGUUAAUCGGAAUUACUGGGCGUAAAGCGCACGCAGGCGGUUUGUUAAGUCAGAUGUGAAAUCCCCGGGCUCAACCUGGGAACUGCAUCUGAUGCUGGCAAGCUUGAGUCUCGGAGAGGGGGGUAGAAUUCCCGGUGUAGCGGUUAAAUGCGUAGAGAUCUGGAGGAAUACCGGUGGCGAAGGCGGCCCCCUGGACGAAGACUGACGCUCAGGUGCGAAAGCGUGGGGAGCAAACAGGAUUAGAUACCCGGGUAGUC